GUGGGACAGUGACCACCAUAGGAAAUUGGCUUCUGUGUUGUUAGGCUGGAUGGGUGGACAUAGGGAUUUUUGUACACACACUGAAUGGGGUCUGUGAUAGUGUGACUACUUUGACUACUGGGGCCAAGGAACCAUGGUCACCGUCUCCUCAGAGAGUUCGUCCUCCCCAUCUGUCUUCCCCCUCGUCUCCUGCGAGAGCCCCCUGUCUGAUGAGAAUUUGGUGGCCAUGGGCUGCCUGGCCCGGGACUUCUUGCCCGACUCCAUUUCCUUCUCCUGGAAGUACCAGAACAACUCUGAUAUCAGCCAGGGUGUCAGAACCUUCCCAACACUGAGGACAGGGAACAAGUACACAGCCACCUCGCAGGUGCUCCUGUCUCGGAAGAAUGUCCUUGAAGGUUCAGAUGAAUACCUGGUAUGCAAGGUCCGCCACGGCAACAAUAACAAAGAUCUGCAUGUGCCCAUUCCAGCUGGCACAGAGAUGAGCCCCAAUGUGAGUGUGUUCGUUCCACCACGUGACGCCUUCUCAGGCCCUGCACCACGCAGGUCCAGACUCUACUGCGAGGCCACCAACUUCAGUCCCAAAGAAAUCACAGUGUCCUGGCUACAGGACGGGAAGCCUGUGAAGUCUGGCUUCACCACAGAGCCGGUGACCGCCGAGGACAAAGGAUCCAAACUGCGGACCUACAAGGUUGUAAGCUCACUGACCAUCACCGAAAGUGACUGGCUGAACCUAAGCGUGUACACCUGCCGUGUGGACCACAGGGGUCUCAUCUUCUGGAAGAAUGUGUCCUCCUCGUGCGCCGCCAGUCCAUCCACAGACAUCCUAGCCUUCGCCAUUCCCCCCUCCUUUGCUCACACCUUCAUCAACAAGUCUGCCAAGCUGACUUGCCUGGUCACAAACCUGGCAACAUAUGACACCCUGAAUAUCUCCUGGUCUUCCCAAAGUGGUGAGGCACUAGAAACCAACAUGAAACCCAUUGAAAGCCACACCAAUGGCACCUUCAGUGCUGAGGGUGUGGCUUAUGUUUGUGCGGAAGACUGGAAUAACAGAAAGGAGUUCAUGUGCACUGUGACCCACAGGGACCUGCCUUCACCACAGAAGAAAACCAUUUCAAAACCCAAUGAAAUGAAUCGUCCACCUGCUGUGUAUAUGCUGCCGCCAGCCCGUGAGCAACUGAUCCUGAGGGAGUCAGCCACAGUCACCUGCCUGGUGAAGGGCUUCUCUCCUGCAGACAUCCUUGUUCAGUGGCUUCAGAGGGGGCAACCCUUGCCCUCAGACAAGUAUGUGACCAGUGCCCCGAUGCCAGAGCCCCAGGCCCAAGGCCUCUACUUCGCCUACAGCACGCUGACUGUGGCAGAGGAGGAAUGGAAUUCUGGAGAGACCUACACCUGUGUUGUAGUCCACGAGGCCUUGCCACACACGGUUACCGAGAGGACCGUGGACAAAUCCACUGAGGGGGAGGUGAAUGCCGAGGAGGAAGGCUUUGAGAACCUGUGGACCACGGCCUCCACCUUCAUCGUACUCUUCCUCCUGAGCCUCUUCUACAGCACCACUGUCACCCUGUUCAAGGUGAAGUGAAUCACAGCAAGGAAGGACAUCAGAGAGCAAGAAACCCUCCCCCAGGAACACUGCCUCUGGGUGGGAUGAGCUGCCUGCAUGACUAGUAAACCUAUUCCUCCGUCUUCCCUGUGUUGCCCUCCAGCUUUGAGCUCUGGGAUGGGCUUCUUCCUAGACUGGUCAAAGGCUUUGUCAGUUUGUGCCACCUGAAGCAGCGUCUGGCCUACAGAUGACUGUGCUGCACACGAAUGGCACUUGUAAAUAAACUUCAUUGUGUGAACCCAC